UACGUAGGGUGCAAGCGUUGUCCGGAAUUAUUGGGCGUAAAGAGCUCGUAGGCGGUCUGUCGCGUCGGCUGUGAAAUCCCGGGGCUCAACCCCGGGCCUGCAGUCGAUACGGGCAGACUAGAGUGCGGUAGGGGAGACUGGAAUUCCUGGUGUAGCGGUGGAAUGCGCAGAUAUCAGGAGGAACACCGAUGGCGAAGGCAGGUCACUGGGCCGCAACUGACGCUGAGGAGCGAAAGCAUGGGGAGCGAACAGG
rnacentral:rRNA from 1 species